rnacentral:rRNA from 1 species
AGACCGAUAGCGAACAAGUAGAGUGAUCGAAAGAUGAAAAGCACUUUGAAAAGAGGGUUAAACAGCACGUGAAAUUGUUAAAAAGGGAAGCGCUUGUGACCAGACUUGCGUCCGGUGAAUCACCCAGCUCUCGCGGCUGGGGCACUUCGCCGGCACAGGCCAGCAUCAGCUUGCCGUCGGGGACAAAAGCUUCAGGAACGUGGCUCCUCUCGGGGAGUGUUAUAGCCUGUUGCAUAAUACCCUUCGGCGGGCUGAGGUACGCGCUCCGCAAGGAUGCUGGCGUAAUGGUCAUCAGCGACCCGUCUUGAAACACGGACCAAG